GAAAUUUUUAACAGCUGCGGUAUUUUAACUGUACUAAGGUAGCAUAAUAAUUUGNCUUAUUAUUUGAGGCUAGAAUGAAUGGUUUGGCGAAGGUUAAUCUGUCUCAACCUUAUUUUUUAGAAGUUAAUUUUCAAAGUGAAAAAGCUUGAAUUUUUUAAAGGGACGAGAAGACCCUAUUGAGCUUAUAAUUUUAUUAGUGCUUAGUUUAAAUACAAAUGCAUAUAUAUAAAUUUUAAUUGGGGUGAUUAAGGAAUAAAAAUAAUAAAUUAUAAGUAACUUCCUUAGAAGUAUUAGUAUUGAUAAAUGAAGUAACCAAUAAAUAAACAUAUAUUGCUUAUAACAUAGUUACCAUAGGGAUAACAGCGUAAUUUACUUAGAGAGUUCUUAU
rnacentral:rRNA from 1 species